rnacentral:lncRNA from 1 species
UUUCUUUUGUUUGUUAUUUUCUUUGAAUAAGAGGAUUGAGAGUUUCUGAAUAUUGUGAAGUGAAUUAUGGAAUGGAAAUGUCAUUGGUAUUAUUUGAGAAGUAGAAAGAUUGAAUGCUAAAAUCAGAUUGUAAUUCAGCAGAGAAAAUGAGUCUGUGUUUGUGUGAAACACUGUAAUGUGAAUGGCAGUUCUCUGUGAAGAAUUCCAGUGAUUGGAACGAGGAUAAUUGUGUGGUGAAAGCUGUGAGGGCACAGUAUUACAAUCGAAGAUUAUGAGGGUGAAUAUAUUGGUGGAAAUAGCAGUUAUUGGCAUGACUGAAUUGCUAUAAGGAAGAGACCGAUAAGAUAAAGGAGGAGAUUAUAGUUUCCUUAUGUAUUCAGAUAUUGGAAAUAGAGACGAUACAUUUAGGAGGUAAUU